rnacentral:lncRNA from 1 species
AACUCCCUUGCCCUCAGGCCCCCACUUAAAAGGUUUUAAAUUUUUUAAUUGGGGGCUUUUGGGGAAAACUUUUUUUUAAAAAAAAAAAAAACCCUUUCCCCCGGAAAUUUUUUUUUUUUUUUUUUUUUUUUUUUUUUUUUUUUUUUUUUUUUUUUUUUUUUUUUUUUUUUUUUUUUUUUUUAAAAAAAAAAAAUAUUUUUUUC